ACCUACGGGAGGCAGCAGUGGGGAAUAUUGCACAAUGGGCGAAAGCCUGAUGCAGCAACGCCGCGUGGAGGAUGAAGGCCUUCGGGUUGUAAACUCUUGUCUUCUGGGACGAUAAUGACGGUACCAGAGGAGGAAGCCACGGCUAACUACGUGCCAGCAGCCGCGGUAAUACGUAGGUGGCGAGCGUUGUCCGGAUUUACUGGGCGUAAAGGAUGCGUAGGCGGAUAUUUAAGUGAGAUGUGAAAUACCCGGGCUUAACUUGGGUGCUGCAUUUCAAACUGGAUAUCUAGAGUGCGGGAGAGGAAAGUGGAAUUCCUAGUGUAGCGGUGAAAUGCGUAGAGAUUAGGAAGAACACCAGUGGCGAAGGCGGCUUUCUGGACCGUAACUGACGCUGAGGCAUGAAAGCGUGGGGAGCAAACAGGAUUAGAUACCCGGGUAGUC
rnacentral:rRNA from 1 species